AUACGGAGGGUGCAAGCGUUGUUCGGAAUCACUGGGCGUAGAGGGCGCGCAGGCGGUUUGGUAAGUCAGAUGUGAAAGCCCAUGGCUCAACCAUGGAAGUGCAUUUGAAACUGUCAGACUUGAGUACUAGAGGGGAAAGUGGAAUUCCCGGUGUAGAGGUGAAAUUCGUAGAUAUCGGGAGGAAUACCGGUGGCGAAGGCGACUUUCUGGCUAGAUACUGACGCUGAGGCGCGAAAGCGUGGGGAGCAAACAGGAUUAGAAACCCUGGUAGUCC
rnacentral:rRNA from 1 species